CGAGUGCGCUGAGAGAAACGGAGCCAGGCAGACAGAGGAGAGCUGAAGUUCGACCAGUUGUUACCCUCCUCGGCUAAAUAAAUCGGUUUCAGUAAUGCACUGAUGUACAACAAUGGACAUAAGGAGCUUCUUUCAAAGAAAAAACUCAGAUAGAAAGUGUGUGUGAGCUGAAUUGAGCAGCAUGGAUCAGUGUGAGGACAGAGA